GGCUGAGGUACUCAAGGCCAAUCUCGCUCCCUGUUCAGCCUCCCACGGAGGCUGGAAGGACAGACUGUGCCAGGAGCAGAGAGCACUGCCAGCCCUGACCUUGAUAUUUAGCAAAGGAUUGUAAUAUUUUCAAAAUACACAUCUCUCCUAGGAGUGCUUGGAAGGACCCAACUGCGGUUUUGUAAGUCUAAGAUCUCUGUCAAAUUCAUCAAGGCUUGGCUUAACCUGGGCAAGUCAGACCCCUUACAGAAGCAUUCUGCAGCUCCCCACACAGGCAACUCAACAAUUCAAACCUAUAUUCAAGGUCUCUGCUGUAACGGUCAUGUUCCCCAGAGGCUCAAAUGUUCAAUACCUGGACUCUACCUAGUGAUGCUAUUUCCAGAGGUAGGGCUUGAGGAAGGAGGUCCUUAGGGGUGUGCUUUAGACAGUUAUAGCUGGUUCUGGGUCCCUUCCUGUUUCCUGUCCAUUGCAGGUGAGAAACCUCAUCCUCAUAUCGCUAGCACCAUGGUAUUCUGCCUUACUGUAGAUCUAGAAUCAAUGGAGGCAAGCACCCGGCUGAAAUUUCUGGAGUAGUAAGCCAAAAAAGAAGCAAAAUCAGAAUCAACACUGACAACUUAACAAUCAAAAUGUUGCGUCUGGAGAGAUGGCUCAGAGGUUAAAAGCACUUGCUGCUCUUCCAGAGGACUUGAGUUCAGAUCCAGCACCCACAUUGGGCAGCUUACAGUUGCCUGUGACUUCAGUUCAAGGGGAUCUGGCACCCCCUGGCUUCUGCAAACAACUGCACAUGCAUAGCGCGCACACACACACAGACACCUAAAUAAAAAUAGCUUAAAAAUCAAAAUAUUGAUCACCUGAAGAAAGUCAAGGAUCUUUUAUGUCUUAGAGUAUCACAUAUCCAUCAAAGAUUUAAUUGUUUCUAAAAAUAAUCAUAACCAUCUCAGAAUGAAAAUUUACCUUUAUUCAUAAUAAAUGAUAGAAUUAUAUGUAUAUAAAA